GACGAACGCUGGCGGCGUGCUUAAUACAUGCAAGUCGAACGGAAAGGCCCUGCUUUUGUUGGUUUCUCGAUUGGCGAACGGGGGAGAAACACGUGUGUAACCUCCCCCUGACUUUGUGAUAUCUUCAGGAAACUGGGGCUCUAAUCGCAUAGGAUCUCUUGCUGCGUGUUGUUGGUUGGAAAGUUUCGGCGUUUGGGGAUGGACUCGCGGCUUAUCCGCUUGAUGGGGUGGUAGUUGCUUACCAAGGGUGCGAAGGCUAGCCGGCCUGAGAGGGUGAACGGCCUCAUGGGGACUAAGAGACGGCCCAGUAUGCAACGGGAGGCAGCAGUGGGGAAUAUUGCGCAGUAGCGGGAAGUCUGAUGUAGAAACGCCGCGUGCGGGAUGACGGCCUUCGAGGUGUGAACCAAUUUCGACUGUGAUGAAGAGUGAGUGACGGUAAUGGGUAAAGAAGCAACGGCUAACUACGUG
rnacentral:rRNA from 1 species